UACGUAGGGUGCGAGCGUUGCCCGGAUUUAUUGGGCGUAAAGGGCGCGUAGGCGGCUCUGCACGUCCGUUGUGAAAUCGCCCCGGCUCAACUGGGCGGGGUCAGCGGAUACGGCGGAGCUUGAGCAAGCUAGGGGGCAAUGGAAUUCCCGGUGUAGUGGUGGAAUGCGUAGAUAUCGGGAGGAACACCAGUGGCGAAGGCGACUUCCUGGCCUGUUCUUGACGCUGAGGCGCGAAAGCUAGGGUAGCAAACGGG
rnacentral:rRNA from 1 species